ACCACUGCACUCCAGCCUGGGUGACAGAGCGAGACUCCAUCUCAAAAAAAAAAAAAAAGAAAAGAAAAAAAUAAAAGAGGUUUAAUUGGCUUAUAGUUCUGCAGGCUGUACAAGUCGGGAAUCUCACAUUGCUCAGCUUCUGGGAGGCCUCAGGGAGCUUUUACUCAUAGCGGAAGGUAAAGCAGGAGCAGCCAUCUCACAUCACAGAGUGAGCAAGAGAGUGAGUGCGGGGAGGAGGUGCCACACUUUACAACAACCAGCUCUGUAAGAACUCACUAUGGAGAGGACAGCACCAAGCCAUCCCACAUCACAGAGUGAGCAAGAGAGUGAGUGCGGGGAGGAGGUGCCACACUUUACAACAACCAGCUCUGUAAAACUCACUAUGGAGAGGACAGCACCAAGCCAUGAGGGAUCUGCCCCAUAACCCCAACACCCCACCAGGCCCCACCUACAACACUGGGGAUUAUAUUUCCAUGAGAUUUGGGUGGGGACAAAUAUCCAAACCACAUCAACUAUUCUGGUCCCUUAAGAACAAAAUGUUUAGACAACAUCCUUGAGCUUUUGCCUGAUUUUCAUUCAUUCUGCCAGCCCUUCCUAACAUGGCAUCACUUUGCCUUUACUUUCUAAAUAACUUUGUUUCCUCAGCUUUUAGAAACAAGUAGCCCAAGAGGGAGGUACAAGAGCCACCAAAAAUGAUUGAAAGUGAAUGACUGUCAGAUGGGCGAGAGGAUUAAGGGAAGGGAAAAUUUCAAGAAGGAGAUUGGCUGACAUUGUCCCAUGCCACAGAGAGAUUAAGGAAGACAAGAAAUGGAAGUGUUCAUUGGAUUUGGCAGUCGUGAUUUCAUUAGUGAACUAAUGAAACUGAUGACCUAAAAGAGAUAGAAACCAUGUUAUAGUGAGGGGUGAAUGGCAGGUGGGAAAUGGAUGUAUGGAUUUGGAAUUCAUCCAUUUUUAGGGGUCCAUUGAAGUCAUGACCAUGGAUUCUGUCACUUUAUGGGGAGAGAGUGAAGUAGGAACAGAAGCAGACCUAGGGCCCAGCCUUAAAGAACUCUUAACAUUACACAGAGGUAAGGAAAUGUAUCUACAAAGACAGAAAGAAUAGCCAGAGUAGGAGAAAUACCAGAAGACUCCGGUGUUACUUAAUCCAAGAGAAAAGUGUUUCAAGGAGGAGGAGUGGCCAGCAAGGUUGGCCACUAAAAAUACGGCUGGGCGUGGUGGCUCAUGCUUGAAAUGCCAGCACUUCGGGAGGCCGAGGCGGGAGGAUCACUUGAGGUCAGGACUUCAAGACCAGCUUGGCCAACAUGGUGAAACCCCACCCCUACUAAAAAUACAAAAAUUAGCCGGGCGUGGUAGUGCACAUCUGCAAUCCAAGCUACUUGGGAGGCU
rnacentral:lncRNA from 10 species